rnacentral:rRNA from 1 species
UACGAAAGGUGCAAGCGUUACUCGGAAUUAUUGGGCGUAAAGCGCACGUAGGCGGUUUGUUAAGUCGGAUGUGAAAUCCCUCGGCUCAACUGAGGAAGUGCAUCCGAAACUGGCAGGCUUGAGUACUAAAGAGGGUCGCGGAAUUCCCGGUGUAGAGGUGAAAUUCGUAGAUAUCGGGAGGAACACCGGUGGCGAAGGCGGCGACUUGGGUAGAUACUGACGCUGAGGUGCGAAAGCGUGGGGAGCAAACAGG